CGGGUGAGUAACACGUGGAUAACCUACCUAUAAGACUGGGAUAACUUCGGGAAACCGGAGCUAAUACCGGAUAAUAUUUUGAACCGCAUGGUUCAAAAGUGAAAGACGGUCUUGCUGUCACUUAUAGAUGGAUCCGCGCUGCAUUAGCUAGUUGGUAAGGUAACGGCUUACCGAGGCAACGAUGCAUAGCCGACCUGAGAGGGUGAUCGGCCACACUGGAACUGAGACACGGUCCAG
rnacentral:rRNA from 1 species